AUUGAACGCUGGCGGCAGGCCUAACACAUGCAAGUCGAGCGGAUGAAGGGAGCUUGCUCCUGGAUUCAGCGGCGGACGGGUGAGUAAUGCCUAGGAAUCUGCCUGGUAGUGGGGGAUAACGUCCGGAAACGGGCGCUAAUACCGCAUACGUCCUGAGGGGGAAAGUGGGGGAUCUUCGGACCUCACGCUAUCAGAUGAGCCUAGGUCGGAUUAGCUAGUUGGUGGGGUAAAGGCCUACCAAGGCGACGAUCCGUAACUGGUCUGAGAGGAUGAUCAGUCACACUGGAACUGAGACACGGUCCAGACUCCUACGGGAGGCGGCAGUGGGGAAUAUUGGACAAUGGGCGAAAGCCUGAUCCAGCCAUGCCGCGUGUGUGAAGAAGGUCUUCGGAUUGUAAAGCACUUUAAGUUGGGAGGAAGGGCAGUAAGUUAAUACCUUGCUGUUUUGACGUUACCAACAGAAUAAGCACCGGCUAACUUCGUG
rnacentral:rRNA from 1 species